UAUUUCUAUGUGAUUUGUACGAACAAUACCAAAGAAAUUUUGGAAUCAAAGUGCACGUAAAACACCCAAAAAAAAAAAAAAAAGAAAAAAAAAAGUUUGAU